rnacentral:rRNA from 1 species
GAGUUUGAUCAUGGCUCAGGAUGAACGCUAGCGAUAGGCUUAACACAUGCAAGUCGAGGGGCAGCAUGAACUUAGCUUGCUAAGUUUGAUGGCGACCGGCGCACGGGUGCGUAACGCGUAUGCAACUUGCCUUACAGAGGGGGAUAACCCGUUGAAAGACGGACUAAUACCGCAUACACUUGCUUGGUUGCAUGAUCGGGCAAGGAAAUAUUUAUAGCUGUAAGAUAGGCAUGCGUCCCAUUAGCUGGUUGGUGAGGUAACGGCUCACCAAGGCAACGAUGGGUAGGGGAACUGAGAGGUUUAUCCCCCACACUGGUACUGAGACACGGACCAGACUCCUACGGGAGGCAGCAGUGAGGAAUAUUGGUCAAUGGGCGAGAGCCUGAACCAGCCAAGUCGCGUGAAGGAAGACUGUCCUAAGGAUUGUAAACUUCUUUUAUACGGGAAUAACGGGCGAUACGUGUAUUGCUGUGAAUGACCGAAGAAUAAGC